GACUGUUUUGGUUUCUCGGUUUCUGACUUUCUGCUUCGCCCCCUUUGUACCUUUGCCUUCUGGUUUGAACUCUUGCUUAGCUCCUGACUGCUCUCUUUGCCUCGCCCCUUCGAAUACCGUGCUUUUGGACUGUGUGUUUUCUGUAUAUGUCUGUUAGGUGCGUAAGGAGUGACUGCCUUUUUGUUUCUGCGAUCGUGGUGUUUACUGUUGUUUUGGUUAGGGAGUUAGACUUAGUCUUUGUCAUUUCACUUCGUCUUGUUUUUGUUACCUUUAGAAUUAGCUUAGUUUUGCCUGGGUCACUCCCGAAGUUUGUUACACCUCGUGUUUGUUAACGUGUCUGAAAAAAUAUGAAAAACUACAAAAAAGAUCCCUUUGUUUCCCGUGCUCCCUUUUCCCGUUCCCUGGUUGUCUCGUCUUCCCCUCUCCCUCUCCUUUACCUUUCUGUCGAUCCUCAACCCUAGACUGCGGAUCGUAACAGAAAUUGGGGGCUCGUCCGUUCCUCUUUUCUGUUUUUCGGUGCGUGUGCCUCCUGGGUUUCUGGGCUUGUCUUCGCUUUUGUUGCCUUUCUGUCUGCUGUUUUCUACGUCACACUCUGUUCUCAUAAAAGGGGGAUUUCCUUUAAAUACAAGGACACAGAGGAGGAGACUCUCAAGAAACAAAGCUGGAAUGACAGAAACCACCUGUGGCUACGGAAGGUCCAGCACUGCCUGGAACAUGCCCAGAACUACGUGAGGCGUACUGGGACGGGCAGCCCAGUGCUGGGGAUACCCAUCAGGCAGCGCCAAGGCAUGCUGGACCAGUGCUAAAGAAUGAAGCGUUACGACUAAGACUCCGCAUCCAAGGGCCCGCCCUGAGAACGUGUCGUAGUUACCUGGACAUCGCCAGAACCCUCAGUCUCCCGCCCUGAGAACGUGUCGUAGUUACCUGGACAUCGCCAGAACCC